GCACAUAUAACCCCCAAGGAAGUGAUAAAGGACCACCAAGCUGAAAGUAGAUUCAGAAACAGGUAUCAAGAAAAUAUAGUCAUUCUACAGAGCCACUGAAAAGGAGAAAGUUAAGGCUCUAUCUGAAUAUCGCUGUUCCAGGACAACCCUUAAAAGAACAAGAAGAACAAGUGAACAAGUGAAGCUGUUCCACCAUUAAUGGGCAGCAGACACUAUGAGGUGAGCUACACAGUGAACACUGAAGAGCUGAGUUUUCAAUACCCUGCGCAUAUUCCCAGUAAUGUUUGCAAAUGCAAACAGAGCUUAAGAGCUUUCUGGAAACAAGAAGAAAGCGGAGGAAGAGAAAGAACAAUAGA
rnacentral:lncRNA from 1 species